AUGAGCUCUGGUCAACACCCACAAACUGACGGGCAAACGGAGCGUGUGAAUCAACAAGUCGAGGGCUAUCUCAAAUGCUUCAUCAGUGCCCACCCGCAUCGUUGGUUCAGCUGGCUUCCUCUUUGUGAGCUAUGGUAUAACACAAAUUGGCAUUCGUCGACAAGCAGAACUCCGUUUGAACUGGUAUAUGGGCAUCCUCCCCGCUACUUUGGCCUCUCUCCUGUAGAUGCUAUAGGCAAUUCAGAUGCUCAUCAGUGGCUACGUGAUAGGCAUGUCAUCAUGGAAUCAGUCAAGCAGCACUUGGUACGUACACAACAGCGCAUGAAGGUUCAAGUUGAUAAACACCGAACAGAGAGACACUUUGAGGUGGGAGACACAGUCUUUCUCAAAAUGCAACCGUACAUUCAGCCGUCCAUUGCUCCGAGGGCAAAUCACAAGCUUGCUUUCAAAUAUUUUGGACCCUUUGCAAUUUUGGCUCGAGUUGGUACGGUAGCGUACAAGCUGGCAUUACCGGACAAUUGCAGAGUGCAUGCAGUUUUUCAUGUCUCCUCACUCAAGCGCCAUGUUAAACCAGACCAACAGGUAUUACCAGUUCUGCCCUCGACAACAUCUCACCUGCAGGUACCUACUGGCUUCCUGGACCGUCGACUGAUUUCACGUGGAAACAAGACGGUAACUCAAGUCCUGGUCAAAUGGAGUCACUCCCCGGCGUCGUUGGCAAUCUGGGAAGAUCAAGAUGUGUUGAAUCAACAGUUUCCACGUGCUCCAGCUUGGGGGCAAGCCGUUUCCUCUCAAGGGGGGAUUGUCAGCAGCGCUGAGGAGGAAGAAGCGGCAAGAACUGAAGAGCUACAGGAGAACCUGGCAAGAGCGGAGCAGGCCAGGCCCAAGAGGAGGACGCAGGCCCCUUCAAGGCCGUGA
rnacentral:rRNA from 1 species